AGAGUUUGAUCAUGGCUCAGAACGAACGCUGCGGCGUGCCUAACACAUGCAAGUCGUACGCAGUAGCAAUACUGAGUGGCGCACGGGUGAGUAACACGUGGGUAAUCUACCUUACUGUUUGGGAUAACCGGCCGAAAGGCUGGCUAAUACCGGAUAAGACCACGGAUCCUUCGGGUUCUGUGGGAAAAGCUGGGGAUCUUCGGACCUAGCGCAGAAAGAUGAGCUCGCGUCCCAUUAGCUAGUUGGCGGUGUAAUAGACCACCAAGGCGACGAUGGGUAGCUGGUCUGAGAGGAUGAUCAGCCACACUGGCACUGAAACACGGGCCAGACUCCUACGGGAGGCAGCAGUGGGGAAUAUUGCGCAAUGGGCGAAAGCCUGACGCAGCAACGCCGCGUGAGUGAUGAAGGUCUUCGGAUCGUAAAGCUCUGUCAGCAGGGAAGAAACCUAUGUGAUCUAAUAAAUCAUGUAAUUGACGGUACCUGCGAAGGAAGCACCGGCUAACUCUGUGCCAGCAGCCGCGGUAAUACAGAGGGUGCGAGCGUUGUUCGGAAUUAUUGGGCGUAAAGAGCGCGUAGGUGGUUUGCUAAGUCUGGUGUGAAAGCCCUCGGCUUAACCGAGGAAGUGCAUUGGAUACUGGCAAGCUUGAGUGUGAGAGAGGAUUGUGGAAUUCCUGGUGUAGCGGUGAAAUGCGUAGAUAUCAGGAGGAACACCGGUGGCGAAGGCGGCAAUCUGGAUCAUAACUGACACUGAGGCGCGAAAGCGUGGGUAGCAAACAGGAUUAGAUACCCUGGUAGUCCACGCCGUAAACGAUGGAUGCUAGGUGUUGCAGGCUUCAACCCCUGCAGUGCCGUAGCUAACGCAUUAAGCAUCCCGCCUGGGGAGUACGGUCGCAAGACUAAAACUCAAAGGAAUUGACGGGGGCCCGCACAAGCGGUGGAGCAUGUGGUUUAAUUCGACGCAACGCGAAGAACCUUACCCAGACUUGACAUCCUAGGAAUCCUGCGGAAACGUGGGAGUGCUCUUCGGAGAACCUAGAGACAGGUGCUGCAUGGCUGUCGUCAGCUCGUGUCG
rnacentral:rRNA from 1 species